GGAGGAAGGUGGGGAUGACGUCAAGUCAUCAUGGCCCUUACGACCAGGGCUACACACGUGCUACAAUGGCAUAUACAAAGAGAAGCGACCUCGCGAGAGCAAGCGGACCUCAUAAAGUAUGUCGUAGUCCGGAUUGGAGUCUGCAACUCGACUCCAUGAAGUCGGAAUCGCUAGUAAUCGUAGAUCAGAAUGCUACGGUGAAUACGUUCCCGGGCCUUGUACACACCGCCCGUCACACCAUGGGAGUGGGUUGCAAAAGAAGUAGGUAGCUUAACCUUCGGGAGGGCGCUUACCACUUUGUGAUUCAUGACUGGGGUGAAGUCGUAACAAGGUAACCGUAGGGGAACCUGCGGUUGGAUCACCUCCUUACCUUAAAGAA
rnacentral:rRNA from 1 species